AUCGAUGAAGAACGCAGCGAAAUGCGAUACGUAAUGUGAAUUGCAGAAUUCAGUGAAUCAUCGAAUCUUUGAACGCACCUUGCGCCCCAUGGUAUUCCGUGGGGCAUGCCUGUUUGAGUGUCACGUAAACCCUCAUCCGUGCGAUCUUACCGUCGCACGAAUGGACUUGAGUGUUGCCGUAAUCGGCUCGCUCUGAAAUGCAUUAGCUUUGCGUCUAUUAGCGCGCUCGGCGUGGUGUGAUAAUUAUCUUCACCUAGCCUUAGGCCGCUUCCAAUGUCGCUGCUUCCAAUGGUCUUCACGGACAAAUCCAAUUAAAGCUUUGGCCUCAAAUCAGGUAGGACUACCCGCUGAACUUAAGCAUAUCAAUAAGCGGAGGAAAAGAAACUAACAAGGAUUCCCCUAGUAACGGCGAGUGAAGAGGGAAGAGCUCAAAUUUGAAAUCUGGCGGCCUCAGGUCGUCCGAGUUGUAAUCUAGAGAGGUGUUUUCCGUGCUGGACCGUGUACAAGUCCCUUGGGACAGGGCGUCGUAGAGGGUGAGAAUCCCGUUUAUGACACGGACUACCAGUGCUCUGUGAUACGCCUUCAAAGAGUCGAGUUGUUUGGGAAUGCAGCUCAAAAUGGGUGGUAAAUUCCAUCUAAAGCUAAAUACAGGCGAGAGACCGAUAGCGAACAAGUACCGUGAGGGAAAGAUGAAAAGAACUUUGGAAAGAGAGUUAAACAGUACGUGAAAUUGUUAAAAGGGAAACGCUUGAAGUCAGUCGCGUCUUCAGGGACUCAGCCUUGCUUCUGCUUGGUGCACUUCUCUGUCGAUGGGCCAACAUCAAUUUCGGGCGGCGGAUAAGGGCCUUGGGAAUGUGGCUCCCUCGGGAGUGUUAUAGCCCUCGGUCGUACGCGUUGCUUGGGAUUGAGGACCGCAGCGAGCCCGCAAGGGUGGGGCCUCGGCCACUUUACUCGCUUAGGAUGUCGGCGUAAUGGCUUUAAACGACCCGUCUUGAAACACGG
rnacentral:rRNA from 1 species